GGGGACGGGUGAGUAACACGUGGGUAACCUACCCAUCAGAGGGGGAUAACACUUGGAAACAGGUGCUAAUACCGCAUAACAGUUUAUGCCGCAUGGCAUAAGAGUGAAAGGCGCUUUCGGGUGUCGCUGAUGGAUGGACCCGCGGUGCAUUAGCUAGUUGGUGAGGUAACGGCUCACCAAGGCCACGAUGCAUAGCCGACCUGAGAGGGUGAUCGGCCACACUGGGACUGAGACACGGCCCAGACUCCUACGGGAGGCAGCAGUAGGGAAUCUUCGGCAAUGGACGAAAGUCUGACCGAGCAACGCCGCGUGAGUGAAGAAGGUUUUCGGAUCGUAAAACUCUGUUGUUAGAGAAGAACAAGGACGUUAGUAACUGAACGUCCCCUGACGGUAUCUAACCAGAAAGCCACGGCUAACUACGUGCCAGCAGCCGCGGUAAUACGUAGGUGGCAAGCGUUGUCCGGAUUUAUUGGGCGUAAAGCGAGCGCAGGCGGUUUCUUAAGUCUGAUGUGAAAGCCCCCGG
rnacentral:rRNA from 1 species